rnacentral:rRNA from 1 species
CCUACGGGGCGCAGCAGUGAGGAAUAUUGGGCAAUGGGCGCAAGCCUGACCCAGCAAUGCCGCGUGAAGGAAGAAGGCUUUCGGGUUGUAAACUUCUUUGACAGGGGAAGAGCAGAAGACGGUACCCUGAAAACAAGCCACGGCUAACUACGUGCCAGCAGCCGCGGUAAUACGUAGGUGGCAAGCGUUGUCCGGAUUUACUGGGUGUAAAGGGCGUGUAGCCGGGAAGGCAAGUCAGAUGUGAAAUCUGGAGGCUCAACCUCCAAAUUGCAUUUGAAACUGUUUUUCUUGAGUACUGGAGAGGCAGACGGAAUUCCUUGUGUAGCGGUGAAAUGCGUAGAUAUAAGGAGGAACACCAGUGGCGAAGGCGGUCUGCUGGACAGCAACUGACGGUGAGGCGCGAAAGCGUGGGGAGCAAACAGGAUUAGAUACCCCAGUAGUC